AGAGUUUGAUCCUGGCUCAGAACGAACGCUGGUGGAGUGUCUUAUACAUGCAAGUCGAGCGAGUCGGUAUAGCAAUAUACUAGGCGAGCGGCGCACGGGUGAGUAACGCGUAAAUAAUCUGCCCUACAGUCGGGAACAACCAUCCCAACGGAUGGCUAAUGCCGGAUAUCGUGGCGAGCCACCUGGCUCGUUGACUAAAGAUUUAUCGCUGUAGGAUGAGUUUGCGUACGAUUAGCUAGUUGGCGGGGUAAUGGCCCACCAAGGCUACGAUCGUUAGCCGGCCUGAGAGGGUGAUCGGCCACAUUGGGACUGAGAUACGGCCCAGACUCCUACGGGAGGCAGCAGUAGGGAAUAUUGCGCAAUGGGGGAAACCCUGACGCAGCAACUCCACGUGUGGGAAGAAGCAUUUCGGUGUGUAAACCACUGUCGAUAGGGAAUAAACUUGGUUUUCGGACCAAUUGAAUGUACCUGUAAAGGAAGCACCGGCCAACUUCGUGCCAGCAGCCGCGGUAAUACGAGGGGUGCAAGCGUUGUUCGGAAUCACUGGGCGUAAGGGAGCGUAGGCGGACUCCAGUCGGUCGUACAAUGCAGGGCCUAACCCUGGACCUGCGGUCGA
rnacentral:rRNA from 1 species